CAGGUAUGUGCUAUCUACAUGCUGAGCUUUUGCUGGAUGGAACCUUAAAAGUCAAUUCCUUCAGCAGAAUUGUCUCCUGUCUCUAAGGACCGCCCUGUGUCAACAAGGGGACAGACAUAUUCCCUGGUUGGAGCCACCAGGACAAUAGAGACUGAUCCACAAUUUGUGCAUGACAAAUCCCCUUCUGAACAUUUGUCCUUCGCUCCUAGUUACACAGGCUCCUUCACCGUUCUUUAUGUGUUUCCAAAUAGCUAUGUAUUUA